GUGACACAGUGAGGGUCAGUCACUUAGCGCCGCGUCGUCACGCUAACAAGUGCUCCCUUGAAGAAAGCCAGACCCGCCCGAGGUGUUGGUGAAGGCAUUGCAGGAAAUACGAGUAGUAAAUUAGUGGUUGAAUGUGCUGGUAAGUCAAUUUGUUGGUGAUUGUUGAUAACAAGAUACAGUAAGAGAAAUUUUGCAGUGUUUUGAAGGUGAAGAAUUAAAUUAUAACGGGAAAAAGUGUGUGAACGCAGAACGCAAAGAGACCAGACUUUCCUGUGGUCGUAAAAAAUAUAAAAAAGAUUGAGGAGACAAAAUACAAAAAAGAGAAAAGAAAAUAACAAAGAGGAAGAAAAAGACAGAAAAAGGAGAAGAAAAAAAGAGAAGAAAGGAAGACUUAGACUUUGGAAGAGAGGAAACGGGAGUGAAAUAAAAAGUGGAGACAAAAAAGAAAGAAAAAAACAAAAAAGGGAAGAAAAAAGGCGAAAAAAAAGACACAAAAAGGGAGACUAAAACAAAAAAUAGAAGAAGGGAAGAAAGGAAAAGAAGAGUGAAAACGGGAAUGAAAUAAAAAGUGGAGACGAA